rnacentral:misc_RNA from 1 species
UACGGAGGGUGCAAGCGUUGUCCGGAUUCAUUGGGUUUAAUGGGUGCGUAGGCGGUUUAUUAAGUCAGUGGUGAAAGUUUGCGGCUUAACCGUAAAAUUGCCACUGAUACUGAUAAACUUGAAUUAAGUUGAGGUAGGCGGAAUUCGUGGUGUAGCGGUGAAAUGCAUAGAUACCACGAAGAACACCGAUAGCGUAGGCAGCUUACUAAGCUUAUAUUGACGCUGAGGCACGAAAGCGUGGGUAGCGAACAGG